AUGAUCGCCCAUCUCAGAGCAGACCGCUGAUCGGAGAGCAAUCCAAAGCAUUCGCUUCCCGCAACCUUCUGCUGGGUUUUCUAUUUAUCGGCAUAUUUGGGGAUCAUACACAUAGAUACAUAUAUAUAUAUACAUAUACGUUUGUGAGUUAUACGUAUCGAUUGCCUGUAUAGCAAAUUAGGGUUUGGUUCGAUCAAGCUACCAUGUCUCUAAGGCCCAGCACGAGGACUGAUGUUCGUCGGAGCCGGUACAAGGUCGCCGUCGAUGCUGAGGAAGGACGGCGGAGGAGGGAAGAUAACAUGGUUGAGAUUCGCAAGAGCAAAAGAGAAGAGAGUUUGCUUAAGAAGCGUCGCGAGGGGCUUCAGGCUCAGCAGUUGUCGGCUACCAUCAACGUCUCUCAAAUCGACAAGAAGUUAGAAAGUCUUCCUGCCAUGGUUGCUGGGGUUUGGUCAGAAGAUAGCAACUUACAGCUAGAAGCAACUACUCAAUUUCGGAAGCUACUUUCAAUAGAACGUAAUCCUCCUAUCGAGGAGGUGAUACAAUCUGGUGUCGUUCCUCGUUUUGUCCAGUUUGUUGCCAGGGAUGACUACCCGCAACUUCAGUUUGAGGCAGCUUGGGCUCUCACUAACAUUGCAUCUGGAACGUCUGAGAACACCAAGGUUGUGAUUGAUCAUGGUGCUGUUCCAAUUUUUGUGAGACUUCUUGGUUCUCCAAGCGAUGAUGUUCGUGAACAGGCUGUUUGGGCAUUGGGAAAUAUUGCAGGUGAUUCGCCCAAGUGUCGCGAUCUUGUCCUUAACCAUGGGGCCCUUAUGCCGUUGCUGGCGCAAUUCAAUGAACAUGCAAAACUUUCUAUGUUGAGAAAUGCAACGUGGACUUUGUCAAACUUUUGCAGGGGCAAGCCACAACCUCAGUUUGAGCAGACAAAGCCUGCACUGCCAGCACUUGCCCAACUUAUUCAUUCGAACGAUGAAGAAGUCCUCACUGAUGCAUGCUGGGCAUUAUCAUAUCUUUCUGAUGGGACAAAUGACAAAAUCCAAGCUGUUAUAGAGGCUGGUGUCUGCCCCCGUCUUGUUGCGCUUUUGGUUCAUCUGUCACCAUCAGUCCUCAUUCCUGCCCUGCGGACAGUUGGUAACAUUGUUACAGGGGAUGAUAUCCAAACUCAGGCUAUUAUAGACCAUCAAGCUCUUCCUUGUCUUCUAAACCUGUUGACUCAUAACUACAAGAAGAGCAUAAAAAAAGAAGCUUGCUGGACCAUCUCAAAUAUCACAGCUGGAAAUAGGGAUCAGAUACAGGCUGUUAUUGAGGCUGGUAUUAUUGGACCACUUGUCCAACUGCUUCAAAAUGCUGAAUUUGAGGUUAAGAAAGAAGCUGCCUGGGCAAUUUCAAAUGCAACAUCUGGUGGUACCCAUGAGCAGAUAAAGUUCUUGGUGAGCCAGGGAUGUAUAAAGCCACUGUGUGAUCUCCUAGUAUGUCCCGACCCAAGAAUAGUCACGGUUUGUUUGGAAGGGCUUGAGAAUAUCCUGAAGGUUGGGGACGUUGAGAAGAAUUUGGGUAACUCAGGCGAUGUGAAUUUAUAUGCUCAGUUGAUUGAUGAAGCUGAAGGACUAGAGAAGAUAGAAAACCUUCAGAGUCAUGACAACAAUGAAAUAUAUGAGAAGGCAGUGAAGAUUUUGGAGACAUACUGGUUGGAGGAGGAGGAUGAGCAAUUGCCUCCAGGUGAUGCUUCUCAAUCUGGAUUUCAAUUUGGAGGAAAGGAACUUCCAGUUCCAUCGGGUGGAUUCAAUUUCAGUUGAAGGAAAAUUGGGUUGCCUCCAAUGUGAUGUAGCAGAUCAGGUUUGGGCUGGUUAAACAUGUGUUUUCAAUAUGGUUUGGUAGAGGCUUAUUUUUCACCCGUCUUUGAGUACCAUUUGGUCGAAGGGAUGCUGUGGGAGAAUUUUCGCUCCUUCACAGUGGUGCAUCUCCCUGGAUGUUAAGCGUUGUUGGGAGUCCUUAUCGCAGAAGAACUGCAUGAACAUGAUGAGAAGAAAAGGAAAAAGAAACAACUUGUUGGUUCUCUUUUCGUCAGGUUCAUCUCUUGAAGCAAAUAAAAGGAGUGUUCAGAGUCUUACUGUUUUGGUAUCGGCAUAGCGUUUGUUGUUGUUAGUGGGGAGGGAAAUACAUGCCCAUUAUGUUUUGUUAAAAGCUUUCAUGUAUGAUUUAAGGUACCGUGUUACAAGUUACAAUUACUGGUGAUGCCUAUUUACUGUUGAAAGUGAAAAAAAAAAAAAAAUGUUUGUUAGUACA